CUCACACAUGCAAGUCGAGCGAUGAAGUUUCCUUCGGGAAACGGAUUAGCGGCGGACGGGUGAGUAACACGUGGGUAACCUGCCUCAUAGAGUGGAAUAGCCUUCCGAAAGGAAGAUUAAUACCGCAUAAUGUUGAAAGAUGGCAUCAUCAUUCAACCAAAGGAGCAAUCCGCUAUGAGAUGGACCCGCGGCGCAUUAGCUAGUUGGUGGGGUAACGGCCUACCAAGGCGACGAUGCGUAGCCGACCUGAGAGGGUGAUCGGCCACAUUGGGACUGAGACACGGCCCAGACUCCUACGGGAGGCAGCAGUGGGGAAUAUUGCACAAUGGGGGAAACCCUGAUGCAGCAACGCCGCGUGAGUGAUGAAGGUUUUCGGAUCGUAAAGCUCUGUCUUUGGGGAAGAUAAUGACGGUACCCAAGGAGGAAGCCACGGCUAACUACGUGCCAGCAGCCGCGGUAAUACGUAGGUGGCGAGCGUUAUCCGGAUUUACUGGGCGUAAAGGGAGCGUAGGCGGAUGAUUAAGUGGGAUGUGAAAUACCCGGGCUCAACUUGGGUGCUGCAUUCCAAACUGGUUAUCUAGAGUGCAGGAGAGGAGAGUGGAAUUCCUAGUGUAGCGGUGAAAUGCGUAGAGAUUAGGAAGAACACCAGUGGCGAAGGCGACUCUCUGGACUGUAACUGACGCUGAGGCUCGAAAGCGUGGGGAGCAAACAGGAUUAGAUACCCUGGUAGUCCACGCCGUAAACGAUGAACACUAGGUGUGGGGGUUUCAACACCUCCGUGCCGCCGCUAACGCAUUAAGUAUUCCGCCUGGGGAGUACGGUCGCAAGAUUAAAACUCAAAGGAAUUGACGGGGACCCGCACAAGUAGCGGAGCAUGUGGUUUAAUUCGAAGCAACGCGAAGAACCUUACCUACACUUGACAUCCCUUGCAUUACUCUUAAUCGAGGAAAUCCCUUCGGGGACAAGGUGACAGGUGGUGCAUGGUUGUCGUCAGCUCGUGUCGUGAGAUGUUGGGUUAAGUCCCGCAACGAGCGCAACCCUUGUCGUUAGUUACUACCAUUAAGUUGAGGACUCUAGCGAGACUGCCUGGGUUAACCAGGAGGAAGGUGGGGAUGACGUCAAAUCAUCAUGCCCCUUAUGUGUAGGGCUACACACGUGCUACAAUGGCUGGUACAGAGAGAUGCAAUACCGCGAGGUGGAGCCAAACUUAAAAACCAGUCUCAGUUCGGAUUGUAGGCUGAAACUCGCCUACAUGAAGCUGGAGUUACUAGUAAUCGCGAAUCAGAAUGUCGCGGUGAAUACGUUCCCGGGUCUUGUACACACCGCCCGUCACACCAUGAGAGUUGGCAAUACCCGAAGUCCGUGAGCUAACCGCAAGGAGGCAGCGGCCGAAGGUAGGGUCAGCGAUUGGGGUGAAA
rnacentral:rRNA from 1 species